UGCGUAGGCGGCUUUUUAAGUUUGGUGUGAAAUCUCCUGGCUCAACCGGGAGGGUGCGCCGAAUACUGAGAGGCUAGAGUGUGGGAGAGGAAAGUGGAAUUCCUGGUGUAGCGGUGAAAUGCGUAGAUAUCAGGAGGAACACCGGUGGUGUAAACGGCUUUCUGGACCAUAACUGACGCUGAGGCACGAAAGCGUGGGUAGCAAACAGGAUUAGAUACCCUGGUAGUCCACGCCCUAAACGAUGCAUAUUUGGUGUGGGCCAUUCAUUUGGUCUGUGCCGGAGCUAACGCGUUAAAUAUGCCGCCUGGGGAGUACAGUCGCAAAGGCUGAA
rnacentral:rRNA from 1 species